CAUGACCCACUAAACAUGGCUGCGUUCUAUGGGAAGAAACUUGUACCAUCAGAAACUGAAUUUAAAUGCGCUCGGUGCAUGCAUCACUUCCUCAUUUAGCGUGAGGAUGGUACGAUGUUUCCGGUCGGUAUGCGGAAGUGCCGGUGUUAUGGCUGAGUCUACGAAGUUCAAGUUUACCGUAAACGAUGUGCGUCGCACUGUGAGAGCAUCAAGUACAACGCCACAGAGUAAACUUGAAAAGGGUUUCAAGUUCUAUGUUUCAUCCUACCUCUGCAAUUUUGAAGGGUGGACCACGGAGGAUACACCGGACCCAUCCUUCAAAUCUGGGGACAAGAACCUUGGAGAUUGGACAGCAUUCGUCACCUCAUCCAGGACGUUAUCGGCCUACAAAUGCAUCCUUCAAAGGAUGCAGUCCUGAAUCUGGACCCAGCAACAGUGAAGGACAUCCGUGAAUCAUUAAAUCUGUGUUUGAUUAAUCUGUGGCUUCAAGAACCCGGAUGUGUGACACAAAAAACUGAAUUUCAGACCUGAAAGUGAAAGUCAGAGUGAGGAGAAGAAAACCCUCCAGACCAGAUUUAGAGCAACAUCUAAUGAAGGAGAGGACAACAUGAAGACAGAGAAACGGCUGUUAACUUAGUCAUUACAGAGACAGAAAUUCAACUUUAACAGGGUUUAAUCUCUUUCUAUUGUUCUUAGAGCAUAAAUGCCUAUAUAUGUUUCUAAUGUGGUUAAUAUUACAGUUGAUCGGUUUUCUAAAUAAUAUUAUUCAGUCUUUAGCUGACUUUGGAUGCAGAAUUAAAUGUUAAUUUAUGAAAUGAAUUUAAAGAUAAUUAUCAAAUGUUAAUGUAAUCAUUUACAGUUCAGGUUUUGGAUUCCUGACCUACAGCGAUGCAGAGCUAGAGGUGACCUGGAUGUUGCGGAUUUGAGAGGAAAAUGCUAAUUUCAUUAGAGACUCAAGACUUGACUUGGACUUGGAAAAAAUGACUUGUGAACAUCUGUGUCAUAAAUGUGAAAACGGUGGUGCGUUGAACAACAUUCAUGCUGUGAUGAUGACGUUAAAACAGAGAUAAUCUGCCUUUGCAUUCAUGUUGAGCUCAGAGGUCUUAUUGGUUUGAUCUUAAAUUAUUCAGAUUAAACCAGGAACUAGA